GACGAACGCUGGCGGCGUGCCUAAUACAUGCAAGUUGAGCGCUGAAGGUUGGUACUUGUACCAACUGGAUGAGCAGCGAACGGGUGAGUAACACGUGGGGAAUCUGCCUUUGAGCGGGGGACAACAUUUGGAAACGAAUGCUAAUACCGCAUAAAAACUUUAAACACAAGUUUUAAGUUUGAAAGAUGCAAUUGCAUCACUCAAAGAUGAUCUCGCGUUGUAUUAGCUAGUUGGUGAGGUAAAGGCUCACCAAGGCGAUGAUACAUAGCCGACCUGAGAGGGUGAUCGGCCACAUUGGGACUGAGACACGGCCCAAACUCCUACGGGAGGCAGCAGUAGGGAAUCUUCGGCAAUGGACGAAAGUCUGACCGAGCAACGCCGCGUGAGUGAAGAAGGUUUUCGGAUCGUAAAACUCUGUUGGUAGAGAAGAACGUUGGUGAGAGUGGAAAGCUCAUCAAGUGACGGUAACUACCCAGAAAGGGACGGCUAACUACGUG
rnacentral:rRNA from 1 species